GACGGAAGGUGCAAGCGUUGCUCGGAAUCACUGGGCGUAAAGGGUGCGUAGGCGGCCGUGCAAGUCUGGCGUGAAAGCCCCGGGCUCAGCCCGGGAAGUGCGCUCGAAACUGCGCGGCUCGAGUGCCGGAGGGGAGAGUGGAAUUCCUGGUGUAGCGGUGAAAUGCAUAGAUAUCAGGAAGAACACCAAUGGCGAAAGCAGCUUUCUGGGACGGUACUGACGCUGAGACGCGAAAGCGUGGGGAGCGAACAGG
rnacentral:rRNA from 1 species